CAGUAGCCGCGGUAAUACCGAGGGUGCAAGCGUUAAUCGGAAUUACUGGGCGUAAAGCGCGCGUAGGUGGUUUGUUAAGUUGGAUGUGAAAUCCCCGGGCUCAACCUGGGAACUGCAUCCAAAACUGGCAAGCUAGAGUAUGGUAGAGGGUGGUGGAAUUUCCUAUGUAGCGGUGAAAUGCGUAGAUAUAGGAAGGAACACCAGUGGCGAAGGCGACCACCUGGACUGAUACUGACACUGAGGUGCGAAAGCGUGGGGAGCAAACAGGAUUAGAUACCCCCGUAGUCCCUGUCUCUUAUAC
rnacentral:rRNA from 1 species